GUAGGUGGCAAGCGUUGUCCGGAAUUAUUGGGCGUAAAGCGCGCGCAGGCGGUCCUUUAAGGUCUGAUGUGAAAGCCCACGGGCUCAACCGUGGAGGGUCAUUGGAAACUGGGGGACUUGAGUACAGAAGAGGAAAGCGGAAUUCCAAGUGUAGCGGUGAAAUGCGUAGAGAUUUGGAGGAACACCAGUGGCGAAGGCGGCUUUCUGGUCUGUAACUGACGCUGAGGCGCGAAAGCGUGGGGAGCAAACAGGAUUAGAUACCCUGGUAGUCCACGCCGUAAACGAUGAGCGCUAAGUGUUAGGGGGUUUCCGCCCCUUAGUGCUGCAGCUAACGCAUUAAGCACUCCGCCUGGGGAGUACGGCCGCAAAGGCUGA
rnacentral:rRNA from 1 species